AUUGAACGCUGGCGGCGUGCUUAACACAUGCAAGUCGAUCGGUGACGCGGGGGCAACCCUGGCGACGAGAGGCGGACGGGUGAGGAACGCUUGGGAAUCUGCCUAUGAGCGGGGGACAACACGGGGAAACACGUCCUAAUACCGCAUACGCUCUACGGAGGAAAGCCGGGGACCGCAAGGCCUGGCACUGAUAGAUGAGCCCAAGCGGGAUUAGCUAGUUGGCGGGGUAACGGUCCACCAAGGCGACGAUCCGUAGCUGGUCUGAGAGGACGAUCAGCCACACUGGAACUGAGACACGGCCCAAACUCCUACGGGAGGCAGCAGUGGGGAAUAUUGGACAAUGGGGGAAACCCUGAUCCAGCGACGCCGCGUGGGUGAAGAAGGCCUGCGGGUUGUAAAGCCCUUUCGGUAGGGACGAAAGCUCUCGACCUAACACGUCGGGAGGUUGACUGAACCUACAAAAGAAGCACCGGCUAACUAUGUGCCAGCCGCCGCCGUAAGAC
rnacentral:rRNA from 1 species